rnacentral:rRNA from 1 species
AUUGAACGCUGGCGGCAUGCUUUACACAUGCAAGUCGAACGGUAACAGGCCGCAAGGUGCUGACGAGUGGCGAACGGGUGAGUAAUGCAUCGGAACGUGCCCAGUCGUGGGGGAUAACGCAGCGAAAGCUGCGCUAAUACCGCAUACGAUCUCUGGAUGAAAGCGGGGGACCGAAAGGCCUCGCGCGAUUGGAGCGGCCGAUGUCAGAUUAGGUAGUUGGUGGGGUAAAGGCCCACCAAGCCAACGAUCUGUAGCUGGUCUGAGAGGACGACCAGCCACACUGGGACUGAAACACGGCCCGGACUCCUACGGGAGGCAGCAGUCGGGAAUUUUGGACAAUGGGCGCAAGCCUGAUCCAGCAAUGCCGCGUGCAGGAAGAAGGCCUUCGGGUUGUAAACUGCUUUUGUACGGAACGAAACGGUCCGGGUUAAUACCCUGGGCUAAUGACGGUACCGUAAGAAUAAGCACCGGCUAACUACGUGCCAGCCGCCGCCGUAAUAC